GAUGAACGCUGGCGGCGUGCCUAAUACAUGCAAGUCGAACGCUGGAGAUCUAGCUUGCUAGCUCGAAGGAGUGGCGAACGGGUGAGUAAUACAUAAGCAACCUACCCACGAAGACUGGGAUAAUCUCUGGAAACGGGGACUAAUACCGGAUAGGUAAUCGGAAGGCAUCUUCUGGUUAUUAAAGGUUAAAAACACUGGUGGAUGGGCUUAUGGCGCAUUAGUUAGUUGGUGAGGUAACGGUCCACCAAGACGAUGAUGCGUAGCCGGCCUGAGAGGGUGAACGGCCACAUUGGGACUGAGACACGGCCCAGACUCCUACGGGAGGCAGCAGUAGGGAAUUUUCGGCAAUGGGGGCAACCCUGACCGAGCAACGCCGCGUGAGUGAAGACGGCCUUCGGGUUGUAAAGCUCUGUUGUAAGGGAAGAACGGUAGAUAGAGAAUAUCUAAGUGACGGUACCUUACCAGAAAGCCACGGCUAACUACGUG
rnacentral:rRNA from 1 species